rnacentral:rRNA from 1 species
AAUGAACGCUGGCGGCAUGCCUUACACAUGCAAGUCGAACGGCAGCACGGGGCAACCUGGUGGCGAGUGGCGAACGGGUGAGUAAUGCAUCGGAACGUACCUUUCAGUGGGGGAUAACGUAGCGAAAGUUACGCUAAUACCGCAUAUUCUGUGAGCAGGAAAGCAGGGGAUCGCAAGACCUUGCGCUGAUUGAGCGGCCGAUGUCAGAUUAGCUAGUUGGUGAGGUAAAGGCUCACCAAGGCGACGAUCUGUAGCGGGUCUGAGAGGAUGAUCCGCCACACUGGAACUGAGACACGGUCCAGACUCCUACGGGAGGCAGCAGUGGGGAACUUUGGACAAUGGGGGCAACCCUGAUCCAGCCAUGCCGCGUGAGUGAAGAAGGCCUUCGGGUUGUAAAGCUCUUUCGGCCGGGAAGAAAUCGCACGGGCUAAUACCCUGUGUGGAUGACGGUACCGGAAUAAGAAGCACCGGCUAACUACGUGCCAGCAGCCGCCGUAACAC